UGUCCAGGGAUGGGAAUCGAACCCACAGUGUUCCGCUUACCGGGCAAAUGCCAUGUCCUGUAGGCUUUCCUUGAC